UACGGGGGGGGCAAGCGUUGUUCGGAAUUACUGGGCGUAAAGGGCUCGUAGGUGGCCAACUAAGUCGGACGUGAAAUCCCUCGGCUUAACCGGGGAACUGCGUCCGAUACUGGAUGGCUUGAGUUUGGGAGAGGGAUGCGGAAUUCCAGGUGUAGCGGUGAAAUGCGUAGAUAUCUGGAGGAACACCGGUGGCGAAGGCGGCAUCCUGGACCAACACUGACACUGAGGAGCGAAAGCCAGGGGAGCAAAC
rnacentral:rRNA from 1 species